UACGAAGGGGGCUAGCGUUGCUCGGAAUCACUGGGCGUAAAGCGCACGUAGGCGGCUUUCUAAGUCAGGGGUGAAAUCCUGGAGGCUCAACUCCCAGAACUGCCUUUGAUACUGGAGAGCUUGAGUCCGGAAGAGGUGAGUGGAACUCCGAGUGUAGAGGUGAAAUUCGUAGAUAUUCGGAAGAACACCAGUGGCGAAGGCGGCUCACUGGUCCGGUACUGACGCUGAUGUGCGAAAGCGUGGGGAGCAAACAGG
rnacentral:rRNA from 1 species